UAUUUAUUUUUUUAAUAGUUUUAUUAGUUUAAUAUCUUUUAUAAAGAUAAUUUUUUUAUUAGUAAAUUUUAUUGAAUAUAUUAUUUUUUUUAUAGCUUAUUGUACUGUGAAGGAUAAUUUAUAAAUAGUUAGAAGUAAAUUUUAUAAUUGUACCUUUUGUAUCAGGGUUUAUCUAAUUAAUUUACUUAAAGUAUUUAUCCCGAAAUUAAAAGAGAUAUAUAUUAAUUUUAAUUAAUGUUACAUAAUUAUUUGUAAUUGGUAUAUAGAAGUUAUAUGCUAUUCAAUUUUAAAUAUCUGGUUUCCUAAGAGUUGAAUUUAUUUCAGCCAUAAUUGGUUAUUGCUUUAAUUUUAUUUUAUUUGUUUUUUAUGGUUAUAUUAAAGGGGAUAAGCUUUUUAAUUUUCUAUAAAUAAUUUAUUAAUUAAAUUGUGUAGGAUUAAUAAUAUCCAUCAUUUAUUUUGUUAUAAUUAGGUUUUAACAUAUUUUGAUUUAUUUUGUUUUAGAUUUUUAUUAGGACGUUUUAUUAAAUUUAUUUAAAAAAGUGAAAAUGAUAAAAUUAGUAUAAUAGAUUUUAUAUUUAUAGUAACUCGGCAAUUAUAAUGUUCACCUGUUUAACAAAAACAUGUCCUACUGUAUAUUUAUAUUAGGUUUGGCCUGCUCGGUGAUUUAUUUAACAGCUGCAGUAAUUUGACUGUGCAAAGGUAGCAUAAUCAUUUGUCUUUUAAUUGAAGGCUGGUAUGAAUGGUUUGAUGAAAUAUUAUCUUUCUUUAAGUAUUUUUUUUAAUUUAAUUUUUAUGUGAAAAAGCAUAAAUGUAAUUGAGGGACGAGAAGACCCUAUAGAGUUUUAAUAUUAUUUAAUUUAUUCUUAAUUGUAAAUUUUAUAUUUUUUAAUUUAACUUAUAUUUUUGUUGGGGCGAUAUUGGGAUAUUAAAAACUCCUUUUUUUGUAAAUUAUUCAUAUAUAUGCUUAGGAUCCUAUUUAUAGAUUAUAAGAUUAAAUUACCUUAGGGAUAACAGCGUAAUUAAAUCGGAGAGUUCUUAUCGAUGAUAUAGUUUGCGACCUCGAUGUUGGAUUAAAAUUAGUUUUAGGUGUAGAAGCUUAAGUUACUAGGUCUGUUCGACCCUUAAUAUUUUACAUGAUCUGAGUUCAGACCGGCGUGAGCCAGGUUGGUUUCUAUCUUCAAUAUAACUUUUAUUAUUUUAGUACGAAAGGACCAAAUAAUAUAAAUAUUUUAUU
rnacentral:rRNA from 1 species